AACGAACGCUGGCGGCAUGCCUAACACAUGCAAGUCGAACGAGACCUUCGGGUCUAGUGGCGCACGGGUGCGUAACGCGUGGGAAUCUACCCUUGGGUUCGGAAUAACAGUUAGAAAUGACUGCUAAUACCGGAUGAUAACGUAAGUCCAAAGAUUUAUCGCCCAAGGAUGAGCCCGCGUAAGAUUAGCUUGUUGGUGGGGUAAUGGCCUACCAAGGCGACGAUCUUUAGCUGGUCUGAGAGGAUGAUCAGCCACACUGGGACUGAGACACGGACCAGACUCCUACGGGAGGCAGCAGUGGGGAAUAUUGGACAAUGGGCGAAAGCCUGAUCCAGCAAUGCCGCGUGAGUGAUGAAGGCCUUAGGGUUGUAAAGCUCUUUUACCAGGGAUGAUAAUGACAGUACCUGGAGAAUAAGCUCCGGCUAACUCCGUGCCAGCAGCCGCCGUAA
rnacentral:rRNA from 1 species